rnacentral:rRNA from 1 species
AGAGUUUGAUCCUGGCUCAGAUUGAACGCUGGCGGCAGGCCUAACACAUGCAAGUCGAGCGGUAGCACAGAGAGCUUGCUCUCGGGUGACGAGCGGCGGACGGGUGAGUAAUGUCUGGGAAACUGCCUGAUGGAGGGGGAUAACUACUGGAAACGGUAGCUAAUACCGCAUAACGUCGCAAGACCAAAGUGGGGGACCUUCGGGCCUCAUGCCAUCAGAUGUGCCCAGAUGGGAUUAGCUGGUAGGUGGGGUAACGGCUCACCUAGGCGACGAUCCCUAGCUGGUCUGAGAGGAUGACCAGCCACACUGGAACUGAGACACGGUCCAGACUCCUACGGGAGGCAGCAGUGGGGAAUAUUGCACAAUGGGCGCAAGCCUGAUGCAGCCAUGCCGCGUGUGUGAAGAAGGCCUUCGGGUUGUAAAGCACUUUCAGCGGGGAGGAAGGCGGUGAGGUUAAUAACCUCAUCGAUUGACGUUACCCGCAGAAGAAGCACCGGCUAACUCCGUGCCAGCAGCCGCGGUAAUACGGAGGGUGCAAGCGUUAAUCGGAAUUACUGGGCGUAAAGCGCACGCAGGCGGUCUGUCAAGUCGGAUGUGAAAUCCCCGGGCUCAACCUGGGAACUGCAUUCGAAACUGGCAGGCUAGAGUCUUGUAGAGGGGGGUAGAAUUCCAGGUGUAGCGGUGAAAUGCGUAGAGAUCUGGAGGAAUACCGGUGGCGAAGGCGGCCCCCUGGACAAAGACUGACGCUCAGGUGCGAAAGCGUGGGGAGCAAACAGGAUUAGAUACCCUGGUAGUCCACGCUGUAAACGAUGUCGAUUUGGAGGUUGUGCCCUUGAGGCGUGGCUUCCGGAGCUAACGCGUUAAAUCGACCGCCUGGGGAGUACGGCCGCAAGGUUAAAACUCAAAUGAAUUGACGGGGGCCCGCACAAGCGGUGGAGCAUGUGGUUUAAUUCGAUGCAACGCGAAGAACCUUACCUGGUCUUGACAUCCACAGAACUUUCCAGAGAUGGAUUGGUGCCUUCGGGAACUGUGAGACAGGUGCUGCAUGGCUGUCGUCAGCUCGUGUUGUGAAAUGUUGGGUUAAGUCCCGCAACGAGCGCAACCCUUAUCCUUUGUUGCCAGCGGUUAGGCCGGGAACUCAAAGGAGACUGCCAGUGAUAAACUGGAGGAAGGUGGGGAUGACGUCAAGUCAUCAUGGCCCUUACGACCAGGGCUACACACGUGCUACAAUGGCAUAUACAAAGAGAAGCGACCUCGCGAGAGCAAGCGGACCUCAUAAAGUAUGUCGUAGUCCGGAUUGGAGUCUGCAACUCGACUCCAUGAAGUCGGAAUCGCUAGUAAUCGUAGAUCAGAAUGCUACGGUGAAUACGUUCCCGGGCCUUGUACACACCGCCCGUCACACCAUGGGAGUGGGUUGCAAAAGAAGUAGGUAGCUUAACCUUCGGGAGGGCGCUUACCACUUUGUGAUUCAUGACUGGGGUGAAGUCGUAACAAGGUAACC